rnacentral:rRNA from 1 species
GACGAACGCUGGCGGCGUGCUUAACACAUGCAAGUCGAACGGAAAGGCCCUUCGGGGUACUCGAGUGGCGAACGGGUGAGUAACACGUGGGUGAUCUGCCCUGCACUUUGGGAUAAGCCUGGGAAACUGGGUCUAAUACCGAAUAGGACCACGCGCUUCAUGGUGUGUGGUGGAAAGCUUUUGCGGUGUGGGAUGGGCCCGCGGCCCAUCAGCUUGUUGGUGGGGUAAUGGCCUACCAAGGCGACGACGGGUAGCCGGCCUGAGAGGGUGACCGGCCACACUGGGACUGAGCUACGGCCCAGACUCCUACGGGAGGCAGCAGUGGGGAAUAUUGCACAGUGGGCGCAAGCCUGAUGCAGCGACGCCGCGUGAGGGAUGACGGCCUUCGGGUUGUAAACCUCUUUCAAUAGGGACGAAGCGCAAGUGACGGUACCUAUAGAAGAAGCACCGGCCAACUACGUG